UACGUAGGCAGCGAGCGUUGUUCGGAGUUACUGGGCGUAAAGGGUGCGCAGGCGGUGGAGCAAGUCUGAUGUGAAAUCUCCCGGCUUAACCGGGAGGGUGCGUUAGAAACUGUUCUGCUGGAGUGAGGGAGAGGCAAGCGGAAUUCCUGGUGUAGCGGUGAAAUGCGUAGAUAUCUGGAGGAACACCGGUGGCGAAGGCGGCAUCCUGGACCGAUAUUGACACUGAUGAGCGAAAGCUAGGGGAGCAAACGGG
rnacentral:rRNA from 1 species